GGUAAAAUGGCCGAGAUAUAGGUAUUAGACUGUAAAUCUAAACACAGAAGGAUAGACCUUCUUUUUACCA
rnacentral:tRNA from 2 species